CUCAGGAUGAACGCUGGCGGCGUGCCUAACACAUGCAAGUCGAGCGAAGCGCGCCCCGGAAUCCUUCGGGAGGAAGGGUCGCGACUGAGCGGCGGACGGGUGAGUAACGCGUGGGCAACCUGCCCCAUACAGGGGGACAACGGCCGGAAACGGCCGCUAAUACCGCAUGAUUCCUCUUGGCCGCAUGGCCGGGAGGGGAAAGCCGAGACGGUAUGGGAUGGACCCGCGUCUGAUUAGCUGGUUGGCGAGGUAACGGCUCACCAAGGCGACGAUCAGUAGCCGGCCUGAGAGGGCGACCGGCCACAUUGGGACUAAGACACAGCCCAAACUCCUACGGGAGGCAGCAGUGGGGAAUAUUGCACAAUGGGGGAAACCCUGAUGCAGCGACGCCGCGUGAAGGACGAAGUAUUUCGGUACGUAAACUUCUAUCAGCAGGGAAGAAAAUGACGGUACCUGACCAAGAAGCCCCGGCUAACUACGUGCCAGCAGCCGCGGUAAUACGUAGGGGGCAAGCGUUAUCCGGAUUUACUGGGUGUAAAGGGAGCGUAGACGGCCAUGCAAGUCUGAUGUGAAAACCCGGGGCUCAACCCCGGGACUGCAUUGGAAACUGUGCGGCUGGAGUGUCGGAGAGGCAAGUGGAAUUCCUAGUGUAGCGGUGAAAUGCGUAGAUAUUAGGAGGAACACCAGUGGCGAAGGCGGCUUGCUGGACGACGACUGACGUUGAGGCUCGAAAGCGUGGGGAGCAAACAGGAUUAGAUACCCUGGUAGUCCACGCCGUAAACG
rnacentral:rRNA from 1 species